rnacentral:rRNA from 1 species
AUCAUUAUUGAUUGUGAAUCGUUGCCUUCAGUGCUGGCCUCGGGCAAGUGCACGUCGGUGACUUUCAUCCAGUCCCCUGUGAACCUUUGGCCUCUUGCUUGCUUUGGCUGGCAGAGGAUUUUACACAAACUCGAAUGUAAUGAAACUAUUGUUGUGCGCAAGCACUAAUGUACAACUUUCAACAACGGAUCUCUUGGCUCUCGCAUCGAUGAAGAACGCAGCGAAAUGCGAUAAGUAAUGUGAAUUGCAGAAUUCAGUGAAUCAUCGAAUCUUUGAACGCACCUUGCACCCUUUGGUAUCCCCAAAGGGUAUGCUCGUUUGAGUGUCAUUGUAACCUCACACUUCCGGUCUUCGGAUUGGGAGCGGUGGACUUGGGUGUUGCCGCUUUACCGUGGCUCACCUUAAAUGCAUUAGUGCAUCUCCAGAUUGGACAUAGUACAGCGUGAUAGGUAUCUUCGCUGGCACCUUACUUCAGAGGGUGGCUGAUCCAGAGCUCUGUGCUUUCAAACCGUCUUCGGACAAUGACUGACAACUUGGCCUCAAAUCGAGUAGGACUACCCGCUGAACUUAA